UUAUUAGGCACAUGGGCCACAAAAACCCUAAUACUACAGAUUGGAUGAAUAUCCACUAGAAUAUUCUAUUUAAAGUCUUAUUUCUAAAACUAGCCGUUACUACUCUGCUAAAGGGAGUACUCGUCCUCGUGCUCGACCUCCGUUGGGUCCUCGACCUCGCCUUCAUCCUUCGUUGACAUCAAAUUGAUGACACGUGGCGGCCUCCGAAGGCUUCCUUAAUAUUGAUCAAGCUCACAUAUAGUUAUGAUAAUUUUUAGCCUAUACAGUUCGUCCUUCCGCUUGUUGAGGUCAUCUUCGUGGACAAGUUCAAUGAGCGGAUAACAACGAUCGUGAUCGUUGUUAUCCGCUCAGGCGACAUGGCUCUUUGUAGACCGUAUAUUUCAAACCCUUAGUUAUGAUAAUUUUUAGCCUAUACAGUUCGUCCUUCCGCUUGUUGAGGUCAUCUUCGUGGACAAGUUCAAUGAGCGGAUAACAACGAUCGUGAUCGCUGUGAUAAACAGGCGACAUGGCUAUUUGUAGACCGUAUAUUUCAAACCCUUAAAUUUCCCUGCUGGAACCAUAUUGUCCAAAAAACGAAGUGACA
rnacentral:lncRNA from 1 species